ensembl:lncRNA
GGUGUAGGAGUCAUGCCGUUUUCAAAUCCUUUCAAUUCUCGUUCAUAGUUCAGCUGAUCGUCGUCCUUGAGACGCGACAAGGACGUCAAGCAUCCUUCAGCAAAUCGUUGCCAAGUCGUGCCAAAUGCCGUUUAAACCGGAUUUGCCCGCAUUGCUUCAUCACGUUCUUUCUUAAAGCAGUACGACAUCUUGGGUGCAACGGAAACGAGAAACCAGUUUCUCGUAGCACCAGCAGUCUUUCCUGUCCAAAAGUGCAAACUAGGUUUCACUGCCCGCAGACAAAUCAGGUCAAUGAAUUCCUUUAACACGUCUUGGUAGGGUGAUUCAUUUGGCAGAAAGAGCAUCAUCUUACUCUCGAGAUAAAUCCACACAAGGUGGCUUAGGAAGCGCAGGAGGAGGUCUCGUAUAAAGGAAAUCGUUCUGGCUCUCCCGCCAAACAUAAUGAAUAUCGCCUUGCUUUCGGUCAGGCGGUGGCUGGGACUUAAUUGACAGGGGUGCCUGAGCGUCUCCGCAGAGAGGCCAGGGUCACUACAGACAGAAGCUGAAAGUCGUUCACUGCUCUCCUAGUGAGGAGAGGGCCCGCGCAGGGUGCAGGGACCCAGGGAAAGCCGCAGGUUUUAAAGCGCUGUGGAAGUUUGAGGGGGCGUGUCGAAGCCUGAGCUGAGAUCUGGUGGUUUGGGGAAAAAAGUUCUGCAGGAAGCGGGCAGAGGUGUGG